rnacentral:rRNA from 1 species
CACGGGGGGAGCAAGCGUUGUUCGGAAUCACUGGGCGUAAAGGGCGUGUAGGCGGUCAAGUAAGUGGAAUGUGAAACGCCUCGGCUUACCCGAGGACCUGCAUCCCAAACUGCUUGGCUUGAGUAUGGGAGAGGAUGAGGGAAUUCCCGGUGUAGAGGUGAAAUUCGUAGAUAUCGGGAGGAACACCGGUGGCGAAGGCGGCGACCUGGGUAGAUACUGACGCUGAGGCGCGAAAGCGUGGGGAGCAAACAGG